AUACGGGGGAUGCAAGCGUUAUUCGGAAUCAUUGGGCGUAAAGGGCACGCAGGCGGUUCUGUCAGUCAGAUGUGAAAGCCCGGGGCUUAACCCCGGACGUGCAUUUGAAACAGCAGGACUUGAGUAUGGUAGAGGAAAGCGGAAUUCCUGGUGUAGAGGUGAAAUUCGUAGAUAUCAGGAGGAACACCGGUGGCGAAGGCGGCUUUCUGGACCAAAACUGACGCUGAGGUGCGAAGGCGUGGGUAGCGAACAGGAUUAGAAACCCGGGUAGUCC
rnacentral:rRNA from 1 species